GAUGAACGCUGGCGGCGUGCCUAACACAUGCAAGUCGAGCGAUUUACUUCGGUAAAGAGCGGCGGACGGGUGAGUAACGCGUGGGUAACCUGCCCUGUACACACGGAUAACAUACCGAGAGGUAUGCUAAUACGAGAUAAUAUACUUUUAUCGCAUGGUAGAAGUAUCAAAGCUUUUGCGGUACAGGAUGGACCCGCGUCUGAUUAGCUAGUUGGUAAGGUAACGGCUUACCAAGGCGACGAUCAGUAGCCGACCUGAGAGGGUGAUCGGCCACAUUGGAACUGAGACACGGUCCAAACUCCUACGGGAGGCAGCAGUGGGGAAUAUUGCACAAUGGGCGAAAGCCUGAUGCAGCAACGCCGCGUGAGCGAUGAAGGCCUUCGGGUCGUAAAGCUCUGUCCUCAAGGAAGAUAAUGACGGUACUUGAGGAGGAAGCCCGGCGUAACUACGUGCCAGCAGCCGCGGUAA
rnacentral:rRNA from 1 species